GUCGAGAGGCUUCGGCAAUGGGGGCAACCCUGACCGAGCGACGCCGCGUGGAGGAUGAAGGCCCUUGGGUUGUAAACUCCUUUUGCUAGGGAAGAAAUGUGAUCAGGUGAACAAUCUGGUCAUUUGACGGUACCUGGCGAAUAAGCUCCGGCUAACUCCGUGCCAGCAGCCGCGGUAACACGGGGGGAGCAAGCGUUGUUCGGAAUCACUGGGCGUAAAGGGCGUGUAGGCGGUCAAGUAAGUGGAACGUGAAAUCCCUCGGCUCACCCGAGGACCUGCGUCCCAAACUGCUUGGCUUGAGUAUGGGAGAGGAUGAGGGAAUUCCUGGUGUAGCGGUGAAAUGCGUAGAUAUCAGGAGGAACACCGGUGGCGAAGGCGCUCAUCUGGCCCAAUACUGACGCUGAGGCGCGAAAGCUAGGGGAGCAAACGGGAUUAGAAACCCGAGUAGUCC
rnacentral:rRNA from 1 species